GAUAUCAACUGAAAAAGUCAUCAACAACAAAGUUGAAUAACUCAUCAAGAUCUAAAACUUUUAUUUUGGUCAUUUCUUCAUACGACAAAGUGAUAGUAAUAUUGUUCACAAAAUUGACAUAUCUCUUAUCUGGUUUUAUAAACUAUAACACAUAUAUAUAAAAUUUGUGAAUAAUAUUACUAACAUUUCGUCAGAUGAAGAAAUAACAAAAAUAAAAGUUUUAGAUCUUGAUGAGCUAUUCAACUUUGUUGUUGAUGACUUUUUCAAUUGAAAUC
rfam:Oryza glaberrima chromosome 6 Oglab06_0214_1, whole genome shotgun sequence.